rnacentral:rRNA from 1 species
UACGGAGGGUGCAAGCGUUAUCCGGAUUCACUGGGUUUAAAGGGUGCGUAGGCGGAAUGAUAAGUCAGUGGUGAAAUCUCGGAGCUUAACUCCGAAACUGCCAUUGAUACUGUCAAUCUUGAGUACAUUUGAUGUGGGCGGAAUGUGUCAUGUAGCGGUGAAAUGCUUAGAUAUGACACAGAACACCGAUUGCGAAGGCAGCUCACAAAACUGUAACUGAC